rnacentral:rRNA from 1 species
AACGAACGCUGGCGGCAUGCCUAACACAUGCAAGUCGAACGGGAUCCUAGCUUGCUAGGUGAGAGUGGCGGACGGGUGAGUAACACGUGGGAAUCUGCCUUUUGGUUCGGGAUAACCGCGGGAAACUGCGGCUAAUACCGAAUGCCCUCGAGAGAGGAAAGAUUUAUCGCCAGAAGAGGAGCCCGCGUCCGAUUAGGUAGUUGGUGGGGUAAAGGCCUACCAAGCCGACGAUCGGUAGCUGGUCUGAGAGGAUGAUCAGCCACACUGGGACUGAGAUACGGCCCAGACUCCUACGGGAGGCAGCAGUGGGGAAUAUUGGGACAAUGGGGGGCAACCCUGAUCCAGCAAUGCCGCGUGAGUGAUGAAGGCCUUAGGGUUGUAAAGCUCUUUUGCCAGGGAAGAUGAUGACUGUACCUGGAGAAUAAGCCCCGGCUAACUUCGUGCCAGCAGCCGCGGUAAU